GAAGGCGAGAUAUGAUUUCUCUCAUCAGUGCUGACUACUGUGUCAUUUCAUCGUGGAUCCCCUCAACCCGUGUCUCCAAACGGCCUAAACGCUCCCAAGUUUCAUUAACUCUCAGCUGGAUGCCAUCCACCCUGCCCACGUACACACUUAGUCGACCAUUCAUAGUGUCCAUCUCCCUCCUAGCUGCCUGGGCAUCCUGGCGAGCGGCACGUGACAUAUCAGUGGCAAUGCGGACG
rnacentral:lncRNA from 1 species